UGAGCACCAGGCGAGGAUCGCCCACAAAUGAGGGACACAACCAAGGACAAAGUUGACAAGAUUCAAAAGUGGUUUGGGUAAAAGAGACUCAAUCCUAGAGGGGCAUUUGAUUCCAAAAGGGAAGAAGACGUACUUCAUCUGGAACAUCGUGAAGUCACAGAAGAACUUCACAAGUGUUCCGAUCGGAAGGGAGCCCUUUGAGUAAGUGAAAUGAAGCGUGAAUAACUGCCUAAUUAGUGGACAUGAAAACUGGACAGUCUCCAAAGUCAUCAGAGAUGACCACGCUUGCCAGGCAACUUACUAGACUAAGGGUGACGUGCCCAUCAUGCAGGAAGCUUCUCCAAGGCUGGCGAGAGCAACUUGUCUGCUUUGAGAAAUGCAGAUCUAUCAGGAUCCAGAAUCGGACUCUGAAAAAGCUGUCAUUUCAUGUCUCUAAAACAGCCUUUGAUUUAAUGUACAAGAUGUCAAGAAGUAAAGGACAAUAAAAUAAAAACCAAAAAAGGAGAACUAUUUCAAUUAAGAAGCAUUCCUAUAUCAAUUCUUGGAAAUCACAUAAAAUAAAAGCUGUCAGAAUCAA
rnacentral:lncRNA from 1 species